CUUGAACUUCUCCAAGGUUCAUCCCCUAUCCUUUGGCAUACAUAUAUCUUGGAUAUCAAAACAAUCAAGUAUUCUCUGGACUACGACAAUGAGCAGAAGAGUUGACAUGGCGCUGGGGCAACAGCAAAGCACAGUUACCCUGAUGAAUUGCCGCAAGAUGCUUGGGGGGAGAUUCAUGAUACAUACUUGUGGCUGCAUUGCACCAUCCUUCCUUGAUCAGGGGACUCUGUGUCUGUGAACCGGCUUAUGACUGGGAACUGGGAUGUCAGAGAAGUUCCGGCAUUUUACUUCAAUGGCUGCAGGCCAUCACUGAGUCCAGGCUUUGAUUAGCCAAUUUAAUAGACCAUUACAACACACCUUAGUGCUUGAGACAACACUUUAAAUUUUCAAUUCUGGGUGAGUACACUUUUAUCAAUG
rnacentral:lncRNA from 1 species